AACAAACGCUGGCGGCGUGCCUAACACAUGCAAGUCGUACGAGAAAGGGUCCUUCGGGGCCUGAGUAAAGUGGCGCACGGGUGAGUAACGCGUGGAUAAUCUGCCCUUCAGUUGGGAAUAACUCAUCGAAAGGUGGGCUAAUACCGAAUAAUGCUGUGAGACCUCGGUUGAUCAGCCAAAGAGAGCCUCUGCUUGCAAGCCCUCGCUGACGGAUGAGUCCGCGUACCAUUAGCUAGUUGGUAGGGUAAUGGCCUACCAAGGCGACGAUGGUUAGCGGGUCUGGGAGGAUGAUCAGCCACACUGGAACUGAGACACGGUCCAGACUCCUACGGGAGGCAGCAGUGAGGAAUCUUGCGCAAUGGGGGCAACCCUGACGCAGCAACGCCGCGUGGGUGAGGAAGGUCUUCGGAUCGUAAAGCUCUGUCGGAUGGAAAGAACCGCAUAGGGGUAAACAGCCCCUGUGUCUAACGGUACCAUCAAAGGAAGCACCGGCUAACUCCGUGCCAGCCGCCGCAGUAACAC
rnacentral:rRNA from 1 species